rnacentral:lncRNA from 1 species
AUAGAAUCCUAAACCAAUUAUAAUCAAAUCUUAAAUCAAAUCUUAGGUCAAAUCUUAAUUAAAAUCCUAAUUGAAAUCCAAAUGAACCUUAAUUAAAUCUUAUUUCUAACUCUAGUAAAAUCCUAAUAAAAUCCUAAAUCCUAAAUUAAUCCUAAUCAAAUCCUAACUAAAUCCUAAUCAAAUCUUAAUUAUAUUUUAAAUAAUCUUAAUCAAAUCUUAAUCAAAUUCUAAUUAAAUCCUAAUCUAUUUUAGAAAAAAUCCUAAAAUUUAACCAAAUUCUAAAAAAAAUCAUAAAUUCUA